CCCUUGGUCCCUUGCUGCUUGUGGGUCUCUCCCUUUGAGGCUGUUCUUCCGAAGGUUUUUCAGUAAUGAGUCGGAUAGCCUCUGCUAUCGCCUGAACUGUGAUGUUCAGAUUUUCCCCUCCUGCUGACGCUUGGGGAGUUUGCUCAGGUUCACCUUCGGGUUCAGUCUCAGGUCCUGUGGGAGUCCUUUUGUUUUAUUGGCCUUAGGUGAUCGACCCACUGGCCUUUUAGUUUUUGAGUUGCCAGGUUGUUGCCCUGGCGCCUCCUGAGAAUUCGCUCCUCCUCCUUGGGAAGUGCUUCGAGUUACCACCAUCCUGGAGUGUUCGACUUUUCUUAGAAGGAGUGUUCGACUUUUGCUUGGAGAGAAAAGUCGAUCUUCAAAAAGUCGAUCCCUAGUGCACUUGGAGGAUUCCUUGGAAGCCGAUGUCUGAAAGCCUAGCUCCUUGAGGGGUCGACUUUUCUUUGGAAGAAAAAGUCGAUCUCCUGAAAUGUCGAUCCCUUGCUGGCUGAUUUCCUCGCAAAACUUCCUAGCUGGCGACA
rnacentral:lncRNA from 1 species